rnacentral:rRNA from 1 species
GGUGAACCUGCGGAAGGAUCAUUCGCACU